CACAGCCGCGGUAAUACGAAGGGUGCAAGCGUUAAUCGGAAUUACUGGGCGUAAAGCGCGCGUAGGUGGUUUGGUAAGAUGGAUGUGAAAUCCCCGGGCUCAACCUGGGAACUGCAUCCAUAACUGCCUGACUAGAGUACGGUAGAGGGUGGUGGAAUUUCCUGUGUAGCGGUGAAAUGCGUAGAUAUAGGAAGGAACACCAGUGGCGAAGGCGACCACCUGGACUGAUACUGACACUGAGGUGCGAAAGCGUGGGGAGCAAACAGGAUUAGAUACCCCAGUAGUCCCUGUCUCUUAUACA
rnacentral:rRNA from 1 species